rnacentral:lncRNA from 1 species
GGGUGCAUAUAUUUUUUUUUUGCAUGAGAAGGAAUGGCGUGGGCAGCAGGGGAGGAGAUGCAUGUCCUUCUGCUUGUGCAUGAGGGAAGGGAGGAGCACAUAUGGCUGUUAUUAGGAAAGGAUUAAAGAUAGAAUGAAGGAAGGCAUGCAAAUGAGAUGGGGCAAGGAAUUAAGAGAAGAAAAUUGUUGUAGGCAUAACUCUUGCAUGGAGGAAGAGAAAAGGGGUGGCAUAAGAGAAGAUGCCGACAGUGUGGUGCUGUCCAUCUUCUUGCAUGCGUGAUGGAGAAAGGUAGGAGAAAAGAUAGGU